rnacentral:rRNA from 1 species
ACGGGUGAGUAAUAUAUCGGAACGUGCCCUAGAGUGGGGGAUAACUAGUCGAAAGACUAGCUAAUACCGCAUACGAUCUACGGAUGAAAGUGGGGGAUCGCAAGACCUCAUGCUCCUGGAGCGGCCGAUAUCUGAUUAGCUAGUUGGUGGGGUAAAAGCCUACCAAGGCAACGAUCAGUAGCUGGUCUGAGAGGACGACCAGCCACACUGGGACUGAGACACGGCCCAGACUCCUACGGGAGGCAGCAGUGGGGAAUUUUGGACAAUGGGGGCAACCCUGAUCCAGCAAUGCCGCGUGAGUGAAGAAGGCCUUCGGGUUGUAAAGCUCUUUUGUCAGGGAAGAAACGGUAGUAGCUAAUAUCUAUUACUAAUGACGGUACCUGAAGAAUAAGCACCGGCUAACUACGUGCCAGCAGCCGCGGUAAUACGUAGGGUGCAAGCGUUAAUCGGAAUUACUGGGCGUAAAGCGUGCGCAGGCGGUUGUGUAAGUCAGAUGUGAAAUCCCCGGGCUCAACCUGGGAAUUGCAUUUGAGACUGCACGGCUAGAGUGUGUCAGAGGGGGGUAGAAUUCCACGUGUAGCA